AGAGUUUGAUCCUGGCUCAGGAUAAACGCUGGCGGCGUGCCUAAUACAUGCAAGUCGGACGAGGGGUCCUUGUAGCAAUACGAGGACUUCCUAGUGGCGAAUGGGUGAGUAACGCGUUGGUGACCUGCCCCAAAGAGAGGAAUAACUCCGGGAAACUGGAGCUAAUACCUCAUGUGGUUGCGAGAUUUAGAAACUCGCAACUAAAGGAGUAAUCCACUUUGGGAGGGGCCUGCGUCCCAUCAGCUAGUUGGUAGGGUAAUGGCCUACCAAGGCUUCGACGGGGUAGGGGGCCUGAGAGGGUGGCCCCCCCCACACUGGCACUGAAACACGGGCCAGACACCUACGGGUGGCAGCAGUAGGGAAUAUUGCACAAUGGGCGAAAGCCUGAUGCAGCAACGCCGCGUGCGCGAUGAAGACCUUCGGGUUGUAAAGCGCUUUUCUGAAGGAAGAGGAAGGACUGUACUUCAGGAAUAAGGAUUGGCUAACUACGUGCCAGCAGCCGCGGUAAUACGUAGGAUCCGAGCGUUAUCCGAAUUUACUGGGCGUAAAGCGCGUGCAGGCGGUCUGAUAAGUUGGAUGUGAAAGCUCCCGGCUCAACUGGGAGAGGCCGUUCAAAACUAUCAGACUAGAGGGCGGUAGAGGGAGGUGGAAUUCCCGGUGUAGUAGUGAAAUGCGUAGAUAUCGGGAGGAACACCAGUGGCGAAAGCGGCCUCCUGGACCGUUCCUGACGCUCAGACGCGAAAGCUAGGGGAGCAAACGGGAUUAGAAACCCCGGUAGUCCUAGCAGUAACGAUGCGAACUUGGUGUCGGUGGGGUAAAAUCCGCCGGUGCCGGAGCUAACGCGUUAAGUUCGCCGCCUGGGGACUACGGCCGCAAGGUUAAAACUCAAAGGAAUUGACGG
rnacentral:rRNA from 1 species